rnacentral:rRNA from 1 species
AGAACUGCCAGUGAUAAACUGGAGGAAGGUGGGGAUGACGUCAAGUCAUCAUGGCCCUUACGACCAGGGCUACACACGUGCUACAAUGGCGCAUACAAAGAGAAGCGACCUCGCGAGAGCAAGCGGACCUCAUAAAGUGCGUCGUAGUCCGGAUUGGAGUCUGCAACUCGACUCCAUGAAGUCGGAAUCGCUAGUAAUCGUGGAUCAGAAUGCCACGGUGAAUACGUUCCCGGGCCUU